rnacentral:rRNA from 1 species
UACAGAGGUCUCAAGCGUUGUUCGGAUUCAUUGGGCGUAAAGGGCGCGUAGGCGGCGCGGUAAGUCGGGGGUGAAAUCUCGGGGCUUAACUCCGAAACUGCAUUCGAUACUGCCGUGCUUGAGGACUGGAGAGGAGACUGGAAUUUACGGUGUAGCGGUGAAAUGCGUAGAUAUCGUAAGGAAGACCAGUGGCGAAGGCGGGUCUCUGGACAGUUCCUGACGCUGAGGCACGAAGGCCAGGGGAGCAAACGGG